rnacentral:rRNA from 1 species
GAUCGGCCCGCGUCUGAUUAGCUAGUUGGUGAGGUAAUGGCUCACCAAGGCGACGAUCAGUAGCUGGUCUGAGAGGAUGAUCAGCCACAUUGGGACUGAGACACGGCCCAAACUCCUACGGGAGGCAGCAGUGGGGAAUAUUGGACAAUGGGGGCAACCCUGAUCCAGCCAUGCCGCGUGAGUGAUGAAGGCCCUAGGGUUGUAAAGCUCUUUUGUGCGGGAAGAUAAUGACGGUACCGCAAGAAUAAGCCCCGGCUAACUUCGUGCCAGCAGCCGCGGUAAUACGAAGGGGGCUAGCGUUGCUCGGAAUCACUGGGCGUAAAGGGUGCGUAGGCGGGUCUUUAAGUCAGGGGUGAAAUCCUGGAGCUCAACUCCAGAACUGCCUUUGAUACUGAGGAUCUUGAGUUCGGGAGAGGUGAGUGGAACUGCGAGUGUAGAGGUGAAAUUCGUAGAUAUUCGCAAG